rnacentral:rRNA from 1 species
GAUCAUUACCGAGUGCGGGCCCUCUGGGUCCAACCUCCCAUCCGUGUCUAUCUGUACCCUGUUGCUUCGGCGUGGCUACGGCCCGCCGAAGACUAACAUUUGAACACUGUCUGAAGUUUGCAGUCUGAGUUUUUAGUUAAACAAUAAUUAAAACUUUCAACAACGGAUCUCUUGGUUCCGGCAUCGAUGAAGAACGCAGCGAAAUGCGAUAAUUAAUGUGAAUUGCAGAAUUCAGUGAAUCAUCGAGUCUUUGAACGCACAUUGCGCCCCCUGGUAUUCCGGGGGGCAUGCCUGUCCGAGCGUCAUUGCUGCCCUCAAGCACGGCUUGUGUGUUGGGCUUCCGUCCCUGGUAACGGGGACGGGCCCAAAAGGCAGUGGCGGCACCAUGUCUGGUCCUCGAGCGUAUGGGGCUUUGUCACCCGCUCCCGUAGGUCCAGCUGGCAGCUAGCCUCGCAACCAAUCUUUUUAACCAGGUUGACCUCGGAUCAGGUAGGGAUACCCGCUGAACUUAAGCAUAUCA